UACGUAGGGUGCAAGCGUUAAUCGGAAUUACUGGGCGUAAAGCGUGCGCAGGCGGUUGUGCAAGACAGAUGUGAAAUCCCCGGGCUCAACCUGGGAAUGGCAUUUGUGACUGCACGGCUAGAGUGUGUCAGAGGGGGGUAGGAAUUCCACGUGUAGCAGUGAAAUGCGUAGAUAUGUGGAGGAAUACCGAUGGCGAAGGCAGCCCCCUGGGAUAACACUGACGCUCAUGCACGAAAGCGUGGGGAGCAAACAGG
rnacentral:rRNA from 1 species